CAGUUCAGAUUGCAGGCUGCAACUCGCCUGCAUGAAGUCGGAAUUGCUAGUAAUCGCGGAUCAGCAUGCCGCGGUGAAUACGUUCCCGGGCCUUGUACACACCGCCCGUCAAGCCAUGGGAGCCGGGGGCGCCUGAAGUCCGGGACCGCGAGGACCGGCCUAGGGCGAAACUGGUAACUGGGGCUAAGUCGUAACAAGGUAUC
rnacentral:rRNA from 1 species